rnacentral:rRNA from 1 species
CUGCGGAGGGAUCAUUACCGAGUUUUCAACUCCCUAACCCUUCUGUGAACCUACCUAUCGUUGCUUCGGCGGACUCGCCCCAGCCCGGACGCGGACUGGACCAGCGGCCCGCCGGGGACCUCAAACUCUUGUAUUCCAGCAUCUUCUGAAUACGCCGCAAGGCAAAACAAAUGAAUCAAAACUUUCAACAACGGAUCUCUUGGCUCUGGCAUCGAUGAAGAACGCAGCGAAACGCGAUAAGUAAUGUGAAUUGCAGAAUCCAGUGAAUCAUCGAAUCUUUGAACGCACAUUGCGCCCGCCAGCAUUCUGGCGGGCAUGCCUGUUCGAGCGUCAUUUCAACCCUCGACCUCCCCUUGGGGGGGUCGGCGUUGGGGACCGGCAGCACACCGCCGGCCCUGAAAUGGAGUGGCGGCCCGUCCGCGGCGACCUCUGCGCAGUAAUACAGCUCGCACCGGAACCCCGACGCGGCCACGCCGUAAAACACCCAACUUCUGAACGUUGACCUCGAAUCAGGUAGGACUACCCGCUGAACUUAAGCAUAUCAAUAAGCGGAGGA